rnacentral:lncRNA from 1 species
UCUAAGCAAAUAAGACCUUCUUUCCAUUAAAACAAGAACCAUUAUCUUGUGUGCACAUGCUUCAAGAACAAUAGGGGCGUGUUUCCAAGUAAUACAAAUCUGCUCAAUUUGCUUCUAUCAUAAGCAAGUCAUGUUUCCAACGCUACAAACCAUGCUUUGAUGCAUCCUUUUCUUCCACAAAUCUACGGAUGUCACUGCCGGUGAACUACAGAGAGAUCAGGCAAGGAGCAGAGAGGGUAGCACCAUUGAGUGGCCGACGUUAUUGACCUGUGGCCACCAAGUGUGGUCCUUGCUAGUUUGCUUCCAUGUUGAUGACAAGAACACAAGACAUAAGAUGCUCAAUCUCAUGAUGCACACCAUGCCCAACAUCAACCAGGGCCAUGUCCAUCUCACUGUCACAGAGCAUGUUUUUCAGUUCCCAUUGGGGUUGCAACAAUGUAUGAUGGACGAGUUGACUGAUUUGAAUAAAACACGACACCUACAGAACAAUAUGAAGCACGAAAAUGGAGCAAACUGUACACACCGUAGAUGCAGAAGUACAAAAUACGAAGCAAACUACCAUAGCAUAGAAGCUCAAGUAUGAAAAAUAAGCAAAUUGUACACAGUGAGGAAGCACAACUAUGAUGCCAAUGAACUAUGAAGCAAACUUGACACGACAAUGAAGCACAAUUAUGAUAUAUAUGAAGCGUGUAAAUUCUGAAAGCACCAUAUCAAUGCAAUAUCAAUAUACUUUCUGUAAUCCACCACACGUACUGCCGUCAACUCCGAAAAACGAGACUAUGAACGCUUAAUCCAUGUUUUUUGGCAUUUGGAAGUAAAAUAUAUAGGAUCCAGAAGCAUCUAUAUAGAAAUUUAUUUUUUUGCGGGUGAUCUAUAUAGCAAUUUAGAUGAUACAGAACUAGGAAGCACGGAGAUAGUAGUUGGGGACAGAUCUGAACAUGUAUAGAAGCAUGAAAAUUAUAUCGAAAUUCAUAGAUGAAAUAGUGAACCAUUACACACCGGUCAUAAUAUAGAUACACUCAGCAAAAUCCAUUGAUGCAAGCAUUGCGUCCAAUGUAACCCAAAUCAAAUCCAAUGAUUAAAAGGGAAUCAAGCAGGAGAUGAACCAAACCCUAGUUCAUAUGAGUACAUACCAGGGGACCACAUAAGGGAUGUGCGUGUAGCUUCUUUGCCGUCCCAAAAAGCCACACCGGUGCGGCAGGAGGGAUGGAGGCGGAGCAGGAUCUGGCUGGGGCUCGCGGCGGAGAUGGGGUUACGCAGUCGGGUGGAGUAGACGGGGGCGGGACGUCGCACCAGCGACGUGGAGCAACUGUAGGCAUGGCGGAGAUGUGGUGCGGAGCAGGUUCAUGACGGAGGUAGCCGUGGUGAGCUUCCUCGUCGGGGAUGGAGUCGCCCGUGGGUUGCGAGACGGGCAGGGGUGGGGUCGGUCGAGGAGAGAGAUUUACUCAGAAAGAAUAAUUUCUAGUGCUUAAUUGUCGGGUCAGAUAGAAAUAUAGGUUGUCAGAUUAAAUAAGAAUCAUUGGAGGAGGACCCGUCUGAUGAAAAUCUUCUAUCAAACUACUGAUACAAAGUGUUUCCCUUUAACAUAUUCCAAUAUCAUUUAUUGCACAACUAAAAAACUAUCAUUUAUUAUAAGCGAUUUUUUUUACUAAUUUAGGGCACCUUGUAUGUGCAGACAAGAAAAUUGAUAAUUACAAAACCCAUUUUGUUGUUGGCUAUUUCAGAAUCCGUAGCACCUUACAUUUUCUCAAUACCCAUCAUAG